GAAAUGCGAUAAGUAAUGUGAAUUGCAGAAUUCCGUGAAUCAUCGAAUCUUUGAACGCACAUUGCGCCCUCUGACAUUCCGGGGGGCAUGCCUGUCCGAGCGUCAUUACGCACCCUCAAGCCCGGCUUGUGUGAUGGGCCCUGGCGUCUCGUUCGCGAGACGGGCCCGAAAGGCAGCGGCGGCGUCGACCCGAUGAGCCCGAGCGUAUGGGGACUUUUGUCACACGUUUGCGGUGCGGACCGGCGCCUGCUUGACUUUUCUGAUUAUCCAGGUUGACCUCGGAUCAGGUAGGGAUACCCGCUGAACUUAAGC
rnacentral:misc_RNA from 1 species